rnacentral:rRNA from 1 species
AACGAACGCUGGCGGCAUGCCUAACACAUGCAAGUCGAACGAGACCUUCGGGUCUAGUGGCGCACGGGUGCGUAACGCGUGGGAAUCUGCCCUUGGGUUCGGAAUAACAGUUAGAAAUGACUGCUAAUACCGGAUGAUGUCUUCGGACCAAAGAUUUAUCGCCCAGGGAUGAGCCCGCGUAGGAUUAGCUAGUUGGUGGGGUAAAGACCUACCAAGGCGACGAUCCUUAGCUGGUCUGAGAGGAUGAUCAGCCACACUGGGACUGAGACACGGCCCAGACUCCUACGGGAGGCAGCAGUGGGGAAUAUUGGACAAUGGGCGAAAGCCUGAUCCAGCAAUGCCGCGUGAGUGAUGAAGGCCUUAGGUUGUAAAGCUCUUUUACCCGGGAUGAUAAUGACAGUACCGGGUGAAUAAGCUCCGGCUAACUCCGUGCCAGCAGCCGCGGUAAU